AGAAUCAACGCUGGCGGCGUGCCUAACACAUGCAAGUCGCACGAGAAAGGGUAGCAAUACCUGAGUACAGUGGCGCACGGGUGAGUAACACGUGAAUAAUCUACCUCCGAGUGGGGAAUAAACUGAGAGAAAUCUUAGCUAAUACCGCAUAACACUUACGAGUCAAAGCAGCAAUGCGCUUGGAGAGGAAUUCGCGGCAGAUUAGUUAGUUGGCGGGGUAAUGGCCCACCAAGACGAUGAUCUGUA
rnacentral:rRNA from 1 species